GACGAACGCUGGCGGCGUGCCUAACACAUGCAAGUCGAACGGAGAUAUUUUUCGGAAUAUCUUAGUGGCGAACGGGUGAGUAACGCGUGGGUAACCUGCCCUUAUAACGGGGAUAACUUGCCGAAAGGUGAGCUAAUACCGGAUAACCUAUUGAGAUUGCAUGAUCUUGAUAGCAAAGGUGGCCUCUUUAAAUGCUACCGUAUAAGGAUGGACCCGCGUCUGAUUAGCUGGUUGGCGAGGUAACGGCUCACCAAGGCGACGAUCAGUAGCCGGCCUGAGAGGGUGAACGGCCACACUGGGACUGAGACACGGCCCAGACUCCUACGGGAGGCAGCAGUGGGGAAUAUUGGACAAUGGGGGGAACCCUGAUCCAGCGAUGCCGCGUGAGUGAAGAAGGCCUUCGGGUCGUAAAGCUCUUUAGGUUGGGAAGAAAGUUAUCUGAGGAUAAUGCAGGUAAUGUGACGGUACCGACAGAAUAAGCACCGGCAAACUCUGUGCCAGCCGCCGCGGUAAGAC
rnacentral:rRNA from 1 species